rnacentral:rRNA from 1 species
GGGAUGACACAGUAGGAUAAGCUAAGCACACUGUUGGUUAUGUGUGCCCAAGCAUUGAGGCAGUCAAAGUAGGUAAAUCCGCUUUGAUAAUGCUGGGAUGUGAUGGGGAGCGAAAUUUAGUAGCGAAGUAGCUGAUUUCACACUGUCAAGAAAAGUCUCUAUCGAGGUUAAAGGUACCCGUACCGCAAACCGACACAGGUGGGUGAGGAGAGUAUCCUAAGGCCAGCGAGAGAACUGUUGUUAAGGAACUCGGCAAAAUGACCCCGUAACUUAGGGAUAAGGGGUGCCACCAUCAGGUGGCCGCAGAGAAUAGGCCCAAGCGACUGUUUACCAAAAACAUAGGUUUCUGCUAAGUCGCAAGACGAUGUAUAGGAGCUGACGCCUGCCCGGUGCUGGAAGGUUAAGGGGAUCUGUUAGAG